rnacentral:rRNA from 1 species
CCUACGGGCGGCAGCAGUGGGGAAUAUUGGGCAAUGGAGGAAACUCUGACCCAGCAACGCCGCGUGAAUGAUGAAGGUCUUCUGAUUGUAAAGUUCUUUUCUUAGGGAGGAAGCAUGUGACGGUACCUUAGUAAUAAGCCUCCGCUAACUACGUGCCCGCAGCCGCGGUAAUACGUAGGAGGCGAGCGUUUUCCGGAAUGACUGGGCGUAAGGGGUGCGUAGGUGGUUUGGCAAGUUAGUAGCGUAACUCCAAGGCUCAACCUUGGAACUACUACUAAAACUGUUGGACUUGAGUGCAGGAGGGGCAAGCGGAAUGCCUAGUGUAGCGGUGGAAUGCGUAGAUAUUAGGAGGAACACCAGUGGCGAAGGCGGGUUGCUAGACUGUAACUGACACUGAGGCACGAAAGCGUGGGGAGCAAACAGGAUUAGAUACCCGAGUAGUC